rnacentral:lncRNA from 1 species
CGAGAAUAUAUACGUGUUUGCUACAAGAGAUAAACUAUAAGAUUAGUGAGAGUCAAACAACUUGAACUUUAUCAUGUUCGAGCUUUAUCAUAGCCAACUAACUCUAUUAAAGGAUGAGACGUAACAAAAUGAUCUUUAUCCUUGCAAGUAGUUGGUGGACAUUUGAUCGAGAAUUAAGUCUCAAAGGAAGCUCCCAAUUUUACUAUCAGAUUAUUGUUUUCAAUUCUAGCGUAGGACUUCGGAGAAUUUCCAUCACUUUCGAGCUAAUUGUGUGGUCUAUCUGAGCACCGCUUGUCUUUAUCCACUCUCCCAAUGAAGACAAUGCCAGGCACUGAUCGCCAUCCUUUAACAAAAUAAAUUGUUUACUAGAGUGACAUUCUUCACUACACAUUCACAAAAUAUAAUAUUCCACACACAAAUCAAGAAAUUUUUUUUAAAUUUCAACCAUACAUUCUCCAAAAACUACUAUUCAAAACUCUAUAUUUUCUUUUAAAAUGGGAGACAAACAGCUCUAGUUUUAGCUUUGACAAAUCAAGUUCUUUCAUUUCUUGAAUUUGUAAUCAGAUUUUGCAAAAUGGGAUUCAUAUGAAAAAAAAAGUUAGUUCUGUCUUUUACGGAUGAGGUGGGAUGGGAUUUCGAGGGAGGGGCGUGUAAGAAGUUCUAAAGGUUUGGAUGGCACAUCGGGUAUAAUUUACAAAACAAUAAAAAAUGUGAGAAUACUAUAAUUAUUCCUUUUUAAUUUUGACGAAUUUUUUUUAUAUAUUUUUUUUCUUAUAACGGUAAAACUAACGAAAUUGGACAUGAUGUCUUUUUCCACCAAAAAUAUUAUUUUCCACACUAAAUAUUUGAAGCAAGGAGAUUUAUAGUAAUUUCGAUAGGUAGGAAAUUUGUUACACAAUGUCUAAUGGAUAGGAAUUCUAUUGCUAUUAAGCCAAAAUAAAAGUAUUGAUUUCACCUAAACGUAGAAAUGUCAACGAGCCAAGUCGAAUCUACUCGCGAGCCG